rnacentral:rRNA from 1 species
GAUGAACGCUGGCGGCGUGCUUAACACAUGCAAGUCGAACGAAGCAUUUGCGACAGUUUUUUUCGGAAUGAAGUUGCUUAUGACUGAGUGGCGGACGGGUGAGUAACGCGUGGGUAACCUGCCUUGUACUGGGGGAUAGCAGCUGGAAACGGCUGGUAAUACCGCAUAGGCGCACAAUGUUGCAUGACAUGGUGUGAAAAACUCCGGUGGUAUAAGAUGGACCCGCGUCUGAUUAGCUAGUUGGUGAGAUAACAGCCCACCAAGGCGACGAUCAGUAGCCGACCUGAGAGGGUGACCGGCCACAUUGGGACUGAGACACGGCCCAGACUCCUACGGGAGGCAGCAGUGGGGAAUAUUGCACAAUGGAGGAAACUCUGAUGCAGCGACGCCGCGUGAGUGAAGAAGUAAUUCGUUAUGUAAAGCUCUAUCAGCAGGGAAGAUAGUGACGGUACCUGACUAAGAAGCUCCGGCUAAAUACGUG